rnacentral:sRNA from 1 species
AUCCUGAAGAUCUUCGUGGACAAUCUCUUUGCUAUCGUCCUGCUGAAGCAGGCCACAGCUGUGCGCUGCUUGGACAUGAGUGCCUCCCGUAAGAAGCUGGCCGUGGUAGAUGAAAAUGACACUUGCCUGGUGUAUGACAUCGACACCAAGGAGCUGCUUUUUCAGGAACCAAACGCCAACAGUGUGGCCUGGAACACCCAGUGUGAGGACAUGCUCUGCUUCUCGGGAGGAGGCUACCUCAACAUCAAAGCCAGCACCUUCCCUGUGCACCGGCAGAAGCUGCAGGGCUUUGUGGUCGGCUACAAUGGCUCCAAGAUCUUCUGCCUCCAUGUCUUCUCCAUUUCUGCUGUGGAGGUGCCGCAGGUAACUGGGGGUGCCUGUCCACUCUUAGCACUGGCAAGGCUGACAAGACCAGGGAAGCUGGGCCCUUUGCUGGUGCUUUGGGGAGAGAGUAGCAAGGAGAGAAGAAUGGCAGCUGUGAUGUCGUGGGAGGCAGUCUGGGCCUGGAACCUGCCGCCCUGUCUCCACUCCUUGCAACCUCUGUGACUGGGGGCAAACAGCUCAACCUCCCUG